CAUUUUAACUUGUGUCACUGAAGAGCACUAAAGUAAAUGAACUCCUGAGGACAAGAUCAAAGCAGAAUAAGAGACUCUUUUUUUAUAUCCUUGAAUCUCCUGUCCCUUUUGUACACUGAAAUUUAAUUUCCUUUUCAAAGAGAGGUUUUGGAGCUUAUGAAAAUUGACCCAAAAGAUUACAAGGGCUUUGUCACCCUUCCAAUCUCUCUGAAAGAUCCAUAAUUAGGGAGGUUUUUUCCUUCAACAUAUGUGCCCAGCAGACAAAUAUAUAAUUCAGACUUACAAUUACAUGAAAGAGUUAUUUUGGUAUGUUGGAUACAUACAAAUCCAGCCGUUACAAAGAGUUGGAAAAUAUUGUGUGCCUCAAAUGAGUAAAUAUACACCAAAAUAUACAUCAAGGCAUUUUCUUUUUUUUUACUGGCUUGUUUUGAUUUGUGCCAAAACUACACACAAUCACACUAAGGACCUGGGAUAGAUGUUCGCUGCUGAGAUAAAUAUAACAAGUACAAUAAAAGCAAACGAAGAGUAUUAAUUAAGCUCCUCUAGAAAUUCAUUCUGCAAGGAGGAAUGUGCGAGCGGAUACCUACGACAGCCAGUCUGCUUUUUUGCCCUCUAACGGAGUAACAUCGGCUUUGCUCCUCCGGCACAGAGCUUACAACCCAGGGGAGAGGGAACUAACCCAGCACAGCCGGGGCGCGGGGCCGGUCCCUCCCGCUGCUCCCUGCCGGCGGCGGCGCUGGGCAGGACCGGUCUGUGGGGCAGCUGCAGGGGGUUCGGGGCGCAGGACCGGCCCCGUGGGGCAGCUGCAGGGGGGUUCCCGGCGCUGUCGCCCCCCGAGCAUCGCCCAAAGGCGGCCCCUUCUCCCGGAGCCCAUCCCGGCACCGCCACCUCCCCUCUGCCUCCCUCCAGUGGGGAAAUCCCGGCUGGAUGGAUGGGGAGAAGCCUCCCCGCUCCGGAGCGCCGGGGGAUGCUGCGAGCAGCGCCGGGGCCGCCCCUGUUUCUAAAGCACAGAAAUAAUUUUUAUCAAAAACCCCAACAACUCAAGAGCCGAGUGAGGAGUCGGGGGCGGGGAGGCUCCCACCGCGCCUUCUGCAGCAGCGGGGAUUCGCAGCCCCAUCUCUGCACCAUUUCUCUGGAGCACACAAGAGAGGACAUGGUGCACCCCUCCAGCCACACCUACCUUGGUCACAAGUUGCCAGGAGGAGAUAUGGAGGAGAGCUCUGCAGUGUCUGGGUUUGCUCAGAAAGGCUCCUUUCUGUAAAGCAAGGCAGAAGAGGAGUGUGUUUGCCCCAGAGAUGCCUCAGGGAGGCACGGCACAGUGGCAGGGGUGUAGCAUGGAGAGUGCAGAGCAUGGAGAAGAUCCACAGGUCUCUGCCAGCACCUGGCUGAGCCAAGAGCAGAGAACAAGACCAAAUCCACCUGAAACAGCAACUGUGGAGCCUAUUUCUCCUUUUUAUAUCAGUGUUACACUCACUUAAUUCCUUUAGAUGCUCUCAGCUUCCCUGAUGCACCCCAAGGAGUGUGGAGGUAACAAGUGCUCUCUGAUAAUGCCAUGGGAAUUACAGCAGGGUCCAGCCCAGCGUGCUGGAUCUGAUCCCCUCAUGCUGAAGCAUUUCACUAGCAAGUGUCAUUUGGAUGGUUUUGGGAAAGAGUCCAGGAUUUGUUUCACACACAGUAUUUCCUCAACAGCUCAGUGAAUAAAAAAAUAUAAAAUAGUUUGAACUAAUCAUGCAAAUCUUGCUUGUCAUCUUAUGCAGAGGAACUAUAUCUAUUCUAAAGUCUGGGCCAGGGCUUUCAACUGCUGAUGGGGGAUAGUUGUGCAGACUUCAAAGGAGCUGUAUCGGCUUUUACCAAGUGGGGAUCCAGACCUUUAUUCAUGUUUUAAAAUUCAGAAACUGUGCCUAGGUAAAGCAUUUUUCUCUAUAUUUCUAGGUAGCCAGUUUUUUAUUUUAUAGCUGUUCCCUCAGUGGCAGGAUUGUUUCUCAGUAGUCAAUGUUUAAAGGCCCUUCAAGACUGAAGGAAUUAAAAAUGAAUAAUUUAAAGCUGGUCUAUGAUGCAUAAUUUUUAACAUAUGUUUUACAGGCCAUGUGGAACACUUUUUGACUUGUCAGUAGAUAUUUUACAAACAUGCUGUGCUGGAACCUUUUUUAUUUAAGAGUUAGAUUUGAGCCCUCCUAUGCCUCAACACAGCAGCAUGCUGGAGUCUACAAGCCAUAACAAAGAAGCCAUUAUCACCAGCACGGAUCAGAAGAGAGGAGAAAUGAAGCAAUUGCAGAACUUUUUUCCUCUUACACACUCUGCUAAAACAAAUGUGGGCAGAACUAUGGCUCUUCCAUCUUAAGAAGCCUCAUCCCAAGGUAGAGGUAGAGGAGCUGUGAUUUGUUCACUCUAAAACUCCAAAAGAGAUGGACCUAGAUGGUGCUGGAGAAGAAGCCAUGAAACAUGUUGUCUUUGGGGCUUUUUUUUGAAGGAUGGCUGGAGGAUUUUUUUUGCCAACCUCCUGUUAAAUAUUGUGCUAGGAACGCCAUCUGAGUAAUUCUUGACAGUUUUAAUAGGCAAAGCCAAUUGCUGAUAAAUAAAAAUCUUUUAUGGAUUUCAUUUCUUGUCCCAUCCUGACUGCUUGCAACAAGAAAGGGAGGAGGCAUCUACCCUGCAGAUGCUCAAAGGCAGCUGGGUUUUAACCUUAUUGACUGGUUCCCACACUCUGCCUUGUUUUCUUGGAUUGUCCAGCUUUUCAUUUCUAUUUUGAAGUUACUCCAUAUUUGUAGCUAAAAAUAAAUUGGUUUGGUCAUUUCAAAAGCUUCUUGGGCCCAAACCCAAUUUCAAGUGUUUCACCAAGCUGUAAAUUGAGGCAGUGCACUGGGGAAAUGCAAGUUUGGGCUCAUGUUUGCUCCCCCCUCAUUAGCUCUCCCUUCAGUUCAUAAUCCAUCAUCUUUCAAACAAGCCAAUUGCCAUUGUGUCUAGAAGUUAAAAUAGAAAAUCAGCAUUUGGCAUGAACACAGUUGCCAAGAAGCUAUUUCUCCUUGCCUGUGUAAAUAAGUUGUCGUUCAAAAACGGUUGGCUUGCUCUAAAAGAUGUGCUAAGCACUGCACUGUGCUCCCAGUGGGAGGAAAGAGGAGAGGAUGCAGGAUUGUGGCCAAGUAGUGCCCCAUCCCCAGCUUCUCUCACUCAUUCUGUUGAAUGGGACUGUUCUUUGCUCUGGCCAAAAUGCCCUUGGAUAGUUCCUGUCUCAGGGAACAGGGCAGGAGUGAUUACUGACCUUGCUGGUUAUGCCCCCAAGUAAGGACCAAGCUCCACACAGGUGGUUCCCUUUAAAAGUGUUAAUCUAUAUAGUUAUAUUGGAUAAUGAUUUGUAUUUAUUUUACACCAUACAGAACACACCUGUUAAUCAGUAUGACUAGAUGUGAAAGAGAAUAAAUACUUCCAAACUUUACAGAUAUGAAUCUAAGAAGAUUGACCAUGGAUGGACUGUGCACAAUGUAUUUGUUCUGGCUGGCAGAAGAGACAGAUGGUCUAUGUACAUAUGACAGGUGAAAUAUGUAUACCUACCUUACCUCCACUGAAGAGGUGCAUCCUGUUCUGUAUUCAAUUGUGUAAGAGUCACUGUCCUCCUUUUGUGUAACUUGCAAUAGUAGCACCUAAUACACUGUGCUAAUAAACUUAAUAAGGCUAUUUGGUGGCUGUAGACUUUGCCAUGAGUGACACACA